rnacentral:rRNA from 1 species
UUAGCCGUGGCUUUCUGGUUAGAUACCGUCAAGGGAUGAACAGUUACUCUCAUCCUUGUUCUUCUCUAACAACAGAGUUUUACGAUCCGAAAACCUUCUUCACUCACGCGGCGUUGCUCGGUCAGACUUUCGUCCAUUGCCGAAGAUUCCCUACUGCUGCCUCCCGUAGGAGUUUGGGCCGUGUCUCAGUCCCAAUGUGGCCGAUCACCCUCUCAGGUCGGCUAUGCAUCGUGGCCUUGGUGAGCCGUUACCUCACCAACUAGCUAAUGCACCGCGGGUCCAUCCAUCAGCGACACCCGAAAGCGCCUUUCAAAUCAAAACCAUGCGGUUUAGAUUGUUAUACGGUAUUAGCACCUGUUUCCAAGUGUUAUCCCCUUCUGAUGGGCAGGUUACCCACGUGUUACUCACCCGUUCGCCACUCCUCUUUUUCCGGUGGAGCAAGCUCCGGUGGAAAAAGAAGCGUUCGACUUGCAUGUAUUAGGCACGCCGCCAGCGUUCGUCCUGAGCCAGGAUU